rnacentral:rRNA from 1 species
GACGUAGGGCGCGAGCGUUGUCCGGAUUUAUUGGGCGUAAAGAGCUCGUAGGCGGCUUGUUGCGUCGACCGUGAAAACCCGGGGCUCAACUUCGGGCUUGCGGUCGAUACGGGCGGGCUAGAGUUCGGUAGGGGAGACUGGAAUUCCUGGUGUAGCGGUGAAAUGCGCAGAUAUCGGGAGGAACACCGGUGGCGAAGGCGGGUCUCUGGGCCGACACUGACGCUGAGGAGCGAAAGCGUGGGGAGCGAACAGG